CGGCACUCCAGACGUUGUGGACUACAUCCCCCAUGAUGCUCUUACACCCAUAAUGCUGGCAAAGCAUCAUGGGGGGUGUAGUUUCAAAACAUCUGGAGUUCCG
rnacentral:miRNA from 1 species